UACAGAGGUCUCAAGCGUUGUUCGGAUUCAUUGGGCGUAAAGGGUGUGUAGGCGGUUGUUUAAGUUUGGUGUGAAAUCUCCCGGCUCAACUGGGAGGGUGCGCCGAAUACUGAAUGACUUGGAGUGCGGGAGAGGAGAGUGGAAUUCCUGGUGUAGCGGUGAAAUGCGUAGAUAUCAGGAGGAACACCGGUGGUGUAGACGGCUCUCUGGACCGUAACUGACGCUGAAACACGAAAGCGUGGGUAGCAAACAGG
rnacentral:rRNA from 1 species